AUCUUUGCUUCUGUGCAUCGGUAAUGUGUACCCUUAAACGGUCAUCGGUUUCAUGCCUGAAAAUCCGGCAGCCAGUCGGAGUCGGGUCAGAUUAAUAACCAAGACGUGAAGAAAUCACCAAAGAGAAGAAGAAACUGAUAAUAAAGCAAGGGGUGUGUUUGGUUUACAUGAAUAAUCGAGGGAGCAAAGUGAAAAAGUAAACAUAAACUGUGAAUGUGAGUUGGGGACUUACUUGACGUAUAGCUGCAAAAGAGGGAUAUCAGGGCCGUAGAUGUUGUUUUUCUGUUUGACUUGGAGUUGACCGACAAGUCCACCGUCGGAGGUUUCAUGAAUGGAGAUCAGACGGUAGCCAUUGCCGAUCGGAGCAGGUCCGGAUUUUGAAGAAGAAGAAGAAGAUGUAAUGCUGGCUAUACAUGAUGAUACAAGGAGUACGACUGCAAGAUGUAGAAGGGGUCUCGAAGAAGAGA